rnacentral:rRNA from 1 species
UACGGGAAGGGCAAGCGUUAUCCGUAGUUACUUGGCGUAAAGAGUCUGUAGACUGUUUAGUAAGUUGAUUAUUAAAUUUUAAAUUUGAUAUUAAAAUAAUUAUCAAUACUACUUAACUUUGAGUUUUAUGCGUAAGAAUAGAAUUUUAUACGGAGGGAUAAAAUCUAAAGAUGUAUAAAGGAAUGCCAGUAGUGAAGACAAUUCUUUAGCAAAAACUGACGUUGAGAGACGAAAGUGUGGGGAGCAAACAGG